UACGGAGGCCUCGAGCGUUGUUCGGAAUCACUGGGCUUAAAGCGCGUGUAGGCGGAGCGGUAAGUACUUUGUGAAAUCCCCGGCUUCAAUCCGGGAACUGCUUGGUAUACUGCCGUUCUUGAGGCAGGUAGGGGUCACUGGAACCUUAGGUGGAGCGGUGAAAUGCGUAGAUAUCUAAGGGAACGCCUGUGGCGAAAGCGGGUGACUGGGCCUGACCUGACGCUGAGACGCGAAAGCGUAGGGAGCAAACGGG
rnacentral:rRNA from 1 species